CCCGCGCCCUGGUGGCCGACCCCAGACGGGCUUGCUGCGCCCCUAGCCCCAGGAGGUCGUCCGCCUAGCCACAGAACUGUGGUCCCGGGCUUUCCCAAAUCUGGGGCGGAGGCGGCAGCGGCCACUAGAUGGCAGUCUGUCCCCCAGCAUGAUCGGAGCGGAUACCACCCUAAAACCAGGACGGAGACGGAGGCGAAAAGGGCAAAGUUAAGAUGGGUUUUCUUUAGGUUACGAUGUGCUUCGUGGUCAAUGUCUCUCUUCUCCAAUGUACUUCAAGCCCAAGGGAUCCCAGUGGAAGCUGCUGGAUGUUUUUUCUUCCAAAUUUCAAACAGGAGGAGAGCAAAGCUGGUGUCUCCUUGGACCAAAGAAGCACCUGUCCCGUCACACUAGAAAAGUUUGAUCCAUGGGUCUUCAGGGGAAGAUCUAUCUGUUAGAAUUGGACAACUAACAUCAAUUUUAUAUUUUUCUAUUAUCCUAUUUCUCAUACCUCUCACAAGUUUAAUAGAAAGUAAAUUACUCAAAUGAAGAACCCUUGUAGUAUAAUCAUUACCUUGGUCUUGUAAACCCAAAAUAGAGACCCCUUCCUCUCCUCAGGACACUAUUCAAGGAAGAAGCACAAAGCUCUACCAUCAGCACCCAAAGCUGACAUUCUUAUUAUACUACUCCCCGAGCAAUAUCCUUAUUUAUAUAAAACAGCAAGUCAUCAAAAACAACUCAGCCUUUACUGAUCUUCUCUGGAGUAAACCAGAGGAUAGGAUAUAAUGGAAAAGGUUUUUAACUUGUGAAGAAAACUAGCAAUCCAUUUAGAUUUCUACAAUGUUUAAUUUUAUCAGUAAA
rnacentral:lncRNA from 1 species